rnacentral:rRNA from 1 species
GACGAACGCUGGCGGCGUGCUUAACACAUGCAAGUCGAACGGAAAGGCCCUGCUUUUGUGGGGUGCUCGAGUGGCGAACGGGUGAGUAACACGUGAGUAACCUGCUCUUGACUUUGGGAUAACUUCAGGAAACUGGGGCUAAUACCGUAUAGGAGCUCCUGCUGCAUGGUGGGGGUUGGAAAGUUUCGGCGGGUGGGGAUGGACUCGCGGCUUAUCAGCUUGUUGGUGGGGUAGUGGCUUACCAAGGCAGUGACGGGUAGCCGGCCUGAGAGGGUGACCGGCCACAUUGGGACUGAGAUACGGACCAGACUCCUACGGGAGGCAGCAGUGGGGAAUAUUGCACAAUGGGCGGAAGCCUGAUGCAGCAACGCCGCGUGCGGGAUGACGGCCUUCGGGUUGUAAACCGCUUUCGCCUGUGACGAAGCGUGAGUGACGGUAAUGGGUAAAGAAGCACCGGCUAACUACGUG